ACUCUCUCAGCUCUGCAUGGUCAUGCUUGCUGUCACACGCGUGGCUUUCGUAAAGGGGAGAGAGAGAAAGGAUCUCUUCCGGACCUCAGGGUGGCCUUACUGUGGCCACUCUUUCCUGGAGGGGUGCCACAGGU
ensembl:snoRNA small nucleolar RNA, H/ACA box 64